AGUGAACGCUGGCGGUAGGCCUAACACAUGCAAGUCGAACGGCAGCACAGUAAGAGCUUGCUCUUACGGGUGGCGAGUGGCGGACGGGUGAGGAAUACAUCGGAAUCUACUUUUUCGUGGGGGAUAACGUAGGGAAACUUACGCUAAUACCGCAUACGACCUACGGGUGAAAGCAGGGGAUCUUCGGACCUUGCGCGAUUGAAUGAGCCGAUGUCGGAUUAGCUAGUUGGCGGGGUAAAGGCCCACCAAGGCGACGAUCCGUAGCUGGUCUGAGAGGAUGAUCAGCCACACUGGAACUGAGACACGGUCCAGACUCCUACGGGAGGCAGCAGUGGGGAAUAUUGGACAAUGGGCGGAAGCCUGAUCCAGCCAGACCGCGUGGGUGAAGAAGGCCUUCGGUUUGUAAAGCCCUUUUUUUGGGAAAGAAAAGCAGCAGGUUAAUACCCCGCUGUUCUGACGGUACCCAAAGAAUAAGCACCGGCUAACUUCGUG
rnacentral:rRNA from 1 species